AUACGGAGGAUGCGAGCGUUAUCCGGAUUUAUUGGGUUUAAAGGGUGCGUAGGUGGUAAUUUAAGUCAGCGGUGAAAGUUUGUGGCUCAACCAUAAAAUUGCCGUUGAAACUGGGUUACUUGAGUGUGUUUGAGGUAGGCGGAAUGCGUGGUGUAGCGGUGAAAUGCAUAGAUAUCACGCAGAACUCCAAUUGCGAAGGCAGCUUACUAAACCAUAACUGACACUGAAGCACGAAAGCGUGGGUAUCAAACAGGAUUAGAUACCCUGGUAGUCCACGCAGUAAACGAUGAUUACUAGGAGUUUGCGAUACACGGUAAGCUCUACAGCGAAAGCGUUAAGUAAUCCACCUGGGGAGUACGCCGGCAACGGUGAAACUCAAAUGAAUUGACGGGG
rnacentral:rRNA from 1 species